AGUCACUGACAUUAGAUACCCCCGUAGUCCUAGCCGUAAACGAUACUCGCUAGGUGUCGGCCACGGUGCGACCGUUGUCGGUGCCGUAGGGAAGCCGUGAAGCGAGCCACCUGGGAAGUACGGCCGCAAGGCUGGAACUUAAAGGAAUUGGCGGGGAGCACCACAACGGGUGGAGCUUGCGGUUUAAUUGGAUUCAACGCCGGAAAUCUUACCGGGACCGACAGCAACAUGAAGGCCAGGCUGAAGACUUUGCCGGAUUAGCUG
rnacentral:rRNA from 1 species